rnacentral:lncRNA from 1 species
GUGAUGGUGGCAGCGAUGGCAAUGGGCCGGGCAGGGACCAUGGAAGUGGUGGCAGAGGUGGCAGGAGUGGGGCAGCUGGCGGUGGAGAAGGCUGUGGUCUUCAGGGGUCUGUAGGUGGAGGCAUGGCUCGGGCCAGCAGCAGGAACAGCAGCGAAGAGGCCUGGGGGGCACUUCAGGCUCCGCAACAGCAGGUAUCCCAGCACCUCUAAAAGCUUAUCUCACGACAGCCAUUUAUUUCUCUUUCCCCUUUCCUGUCACUUCCUGUCCGGGGUGGGGGAGGAGUUCAUGGAGCCAAAGGUACUAUGAAGUUCCCCAACAUGACCAUUCUACUCUUUGUCUAAACUUCUUACGUAGACACGGUUGACUUUACCUGCAGCCUCUUAGACCCCAUCUCGUGGUUGCAGUGCAAGCCCGCAGUGGCUCUCCAGUUACCAGAGGCGUAGUGAAAACCCCAGGGAGGCUCCCUGUGUCUUGCCGCAGUUAUUUGUGAUGUUUUUCUAUGUGCCUAUUGUCACAGCAGAGUCCGGCAGCAUCUUCUCUUGAGGGAGCAAUUUGGAGACGAGCUGGAACCCAGACUCGCGCCCUGGAUGCCAUCCUUUAUCAUCCACAGCAAUCCCAUCUGGUUGGGAGCACUGCUCUGGGUCUCACACUGCUCCUCCUCUACCCUAGGGAGCUUGAGACCCAGGGGUGGAAAAAAAAAAUCUGUCCCGGGAGUGUGGGAGGCAGAUCUUCUGGGUGGGAGAUGUUAAAAGCUUUUUAGCUUUGGAAAUGGUCUUAAAUUCCUACACAUCGUCAGGACUAUGUUUUGUUUCUCCUAAAACAUUACCUUACCAAAAACCACCCUUGGGGCUAGGCUUAUGUGAGAAAAGUCUUGGGUUAAAAGAACUGAAGUCACCUUUGUGUAUUUAUACUCUACUUUCUACACUAGUUUCUGGCUAUUCUAAAUCUUCCAUACUGACAACCCUACAUACAGACACUCAUUUUAGCAUCCCCAUGCCAUCCUUCUAAGCUAGGUUGGCUCGUGGGUGGGAUUGUGUAUGUGCGUGCAGGAGGUGGGGGUGGACAGGGCCUUGGAUAGAAUCCCCUAGUUCUUAGUGCCUCCUUGCCUCCAGCUUCGAGAGCUGUGCCCAGGAGUGAAUACCCAGCCCUACCUCUGUGAGAGUGGCCAUUGCUGUGGGGAGACUGGCUGCUGCACCUACUACUAUGAACUCUGGUGGUUCUGGCUGCUUUGGACUGUCCUCAUCCUCUUUAGCUGUUGUUGUGCCUUCCGCCACCGAAGAGCUAAACUCAGGCUGCAACAGCAACAGCGGCAGCGUGAAAUCAACUUGUUGGCUUACCAUGGGGCGUGCCACGGGGCUGGCCCUGUUCCAACUGGUUCACUGCUUGACCUUCGUGAGUGACUUGGCUCUUGGGUGCAGAACCAGUAGCCCCUCCCAAGCCAGGACCCUCAACCGCACUUCUACUGGCAGACAUUUCAGAGCAUUUUCCCCUAAAAGGAGAGAUGGCUGU